CCUACGUGAGGCAGCAGUGAGGAAUAUUGGUCAAUGGGCGCGAGCCUGAACCAGCCAAGUAGCGUGAAGGAUGACUGCCCUACGGGUUGUAAACUUCUUUUAUAAAGGAAUAAAGUGAGGCACGUGUGCCUUUUUGUAUGUACUUUAUGAAUAAGGAUCGGCGAACUCCGUACCAGCAGCCGCGGUAAUACGGAGGAUCCGAGCGUUAUCCGGAUUUAUUGGGUUUAAAGGGAGCGUAGAUGGGUUGUUAAGUCAGUUGUGAAAGUUUGCGGCUCAACCGUAAAAUUGCAAUUGAUACUGGCAGUCUUGAGUACAGUUGAGGUAGGCGGAAUUCGUGGUGUAGCGGUGAAAUGCUUAGAUAUCACGAAGAACUCCGAUUGCGAAGGCAGCUUACUAAACUGCCACUGACAUUGAUGCUCGAAAGUGUGGGUAUCAAACAGGAUUAGAUACCCCAGUAGUC
rnacentral:rRNA from 1 species